rnacentral:tRNA from 1 species
GGGGCAGUAGCUCAGUUGGGAGAGCAUCCCGUUCGCAGCGGGAAGGUCGGCGGUUCGAAUCCGCUCUGCUCCA